rnacentral:rRNA from 1 species
AACAUUUCACAACACGAGCUGACGACAGCCAUGCAGCACCUGUCUCAGAGUUCCCGAAGGCACCAAAGCAUCUCUGCUAAGUUCUCUGGAUGUCAAGAGUAGGUAAGGUUCUUCGCGUUGCAUCGAAUUAAACCACAUGCUCCACCGCUUGUGCGGGCCCCCGUCAAUUCAUUUGAGUUUUAACCUUGCGGCCGUACUCCCCAGGCGGUCGACUUAACGCGUUAGCUCCGGAAGCCACUCCUCAAGGGAACAACCUCCAAGUCGACAUCGUUUACGGCGUGGACUACCAGGGUAUCUAAUCCUGUUUGCUCCCCACGCUUUCGCACCUGAGCGUCAGUCUUUGUCCAGGGGGCCGCCUUCGCCACCGGUAUUCCUCCAGAUCUCUACGCAUUUCACCGCUACACCUGGAAUUCUACCCCCCUCUACAAGACUCUAGCCUGCCAGUUUCGAAUGCAGUUCCCAGGUUGAGCCCGGGGAUUUCACAUCCAACUUAACGAACCACCUACGCGCGCUUUACGCCCAGUAAUUCCGAUUAACGCUUGCACCCUCUGUAUUACCGCGGCUGCUGGCACAGAGUUAGCCGGUGCUUAUUCUGUCGGUAACGUCAAAAUUGCAGAGUAUUAAUCUACAACCCUUCCUCCCAACUUAAAGUGCUUUACAAUCCGAAGACCUUCUUCACACACGCGGCAUGGCUGGAUCAGGCUUUCGCCCAUUGUCCAAUAUUCCCCACUGCUGCCUCCCGUAGGAGUCUGGACCGUGUCUCAGUUCCAGUGUGACUGAUCAUCCUCUCAGACCAGUUACGGAUCGUCGCCUAGGUGAGCCAUUACCCCACCUACUAGCUAAUCCCAUCUGGGCACAUCUGAUGGUAAGAGGCCCGAAGGUCCCCCUCUUUGGUCUUGCGACGUUAUGCGGUAUUAGCUACCGUUUCCAGUAGUUAUCCCCCUCCAUCAGGCAGUUUCCCAGACAUUACUCACCCGUCCGCCGCUCGUCACCCAGAGAGCAAGCUCUCCUGUGCUACCGCUC